rnacentral:rRNA from 1 species
CCUACGGGGGGCAGCAGUAGGGAAUCUUCCGCAAUGGACGAAAGUCUGACGGAGCAACGCCGCGUGAGCGAAGAAGGUCUUCGGAUCGUAAAGCUCUGUUGUUAGGGAAGAACAAGUACGGGAGGAAAUGACCGUACCUUGACGGUACCUAACGAGGAAGCCACGGCUAACUACGUGCCAGCAGCCGCGGUAAUACGUAGGUGGCAAGCGUUGUCCGGAAUUAUUGGGCGUAAAGCACGCGCAGGCGGUCUUUUAAGUCUGAUGUGGAAUCUUGCGGCUCAACCGCAAGCGGUCAUUGGAAAAUGGGGGAGUGGGGUGCAGAAGAGGAAAGCGAAAUUCAACGUGUGGCGGGGAAAUGCGUAGGGGUGUGGAGGAAAACCAGUGGCGAAGGGGGCUUUCUGGUCUGUAACUGCCGCGGAGGCGCGAAAGCGUGGGGAGCAAACAGGUUUAGAUACCCUUGUAGUC